UUGACCUCAAAUCAGGUAGGACUACCCGCUGAACUUAAGCAUAUCAAUAAGCGGAGGAAAAGAAACUAACAAGGAUUCCCCUAGUAACUGCGAGUGAAGCGGGAAAAGCUCAAAUUUUAAAUCUGGCGGUCUUGGGCCGUCCGAGUUGUAAUCUAGAGAAGUGUUAUCCGCGCUG
rnacentral:rRNA from 1 species